rnacentral:lncRNA from 10 species
GCUGGCACUGCCGAAGCACCUACGCCACGUCAGGCACUUGACACAGCCCCCAUUUCAUUUAAUUAUCUCCACAAACCUGCACAGCAGGAACUCUCACUCCCAUUUCACGGAGGAGAUGAGGACACAGGCUCAGGAGAAGCCCGGAGCACAGCACGCCCUGCCGGAGGUCUUUCAGCGGCCCCAGCCCGGGACCUCCAGCCACACGGGCCUCCGAGCCUCGCCGGCCGCUCUCCCCUGAGAGUUGACAAGACAGCUGUCACAAAGUCCAGCUUUCUGCUGGGGAGGAGACAAGCAAGUCCCCAUGUGGCCAGCUAGACCCGCCUGUGAGCCUGUGAUUGUUCUGCCACAGGUAAGGCAGGGAAAGAAAAGCUCAGAGCUUGGGGCUGAGUGGGUGAAUAUGUCAGAGAAGGGCCUUUUAGGGCCAAGCAGCCUCUGGGCUUGAUCCAGAAUAAAAUCACUCACAGGCUUCCAGGCGCAACACACACACACACACACACACACACACACACACACACACACAGUGGCUUCCAGGCGCAACACACACACACACACACACACACACACACACACACACACACACACACAGUGGCUGCAAAUCCAAAAUUUAAGGAGCCUUGUGGGUCUCCACAGCCCCAGGUUGGCUGAAUGCCUGUGAAUAGGGUGCAUGGAGAGAAUCUCAAAGGUCCAGGAGGUAGGUUUGGGAAAAAACUGGGUCUCAGAAUCUGGGCUGCACACUUAGAGCCUAGGAUACCUCUUGGCUUGUUUUCCCACUUAGGGCUGCAGGCCCCCAGCAGCCUUCUCUGUAGAUCUAUGCUCUAGGAUUGUGGGUAAUGCAGUCCACAGAGGCCAGGCUCCUAGUGAUGCUGCUUCCUGCCCUCUCCUCCCCUCCUCUCAGGCCCCUGACAGCCACCCGCCUUCCUGCUCCAGGAGGAGGGCAAGUCAGAGUGAGGAGGUGGGCUCCUUGCAGGGAUGGGAGAUCCCAGGCUGGAAACCAGUGAGCUAUUUAUGAUUGAGCUUAGCCAAGGGGCAAGGUGUGAGGGGAGCUCCUGUAGGCUGCUACAGAAUUUGCAGGAACCCCAGGCCUCUGCUUGGGUAGGGCUUUUAUUCUCUUCUGUGUGCAGGGUCCUUGAUUCUUUUUUUUUUGAGACGGAGUCUCACUGUGUCACCCAGGCUGGAGUGCAGUGGUCUG